AAGUCGUAACAAGGUUUCCGUAGGUGAACCUGCGGAAGGAUCAUUGCUAAAACAAUAUUUAAUAUCCACAAACCCCAAAACCUUUUUUUUGUGUGAACCUUUUUACGGAGGGGAGAGGAUGUGUUCAAAACACAAAUCUUCUCUCUGUAAUUUUUUAUAAACUCCAUAUCAUCAUGAGAUAAAAACAAAUCAAGUCUAAAAGAUUUUAUUAAAAAGAAUAUAAAUAAUAGAAACAACUUUUAACAACGGAUCUCUUGGUUCUC
rnacentral:misc_RNA from 1 species